AAAAAAAAAAAAAAAAAAAAAAAAAAAAAAAGCAGCGACGGAAAGAUACUGGGAAAUAAAAAUAUCCAAAAUUGCAAUUACGAUAGAAGGAGAAUCGUGCGAGAGGGGAGAUAAAAAACGAGAAGAGAAAUUAGAAUGUGACACCGAAAUUGGAAAACGAUGGGAAAGAGACAAAGGUGAGGGAAGAUAACGAGAUAACGAAAGCUUGACGACGAGAAGAAAAGAAAGCAAAGUGCGAACGCGAAGAAGGAGGAUAAAACGAGGAGAGUGGAGAACCGAGCGCAGCUAAAUCGCGAACCACUAUUUUCCUCUGGCUGAUUCUAACUUCUGAUCUCGAUUCGUCCACGCUUUCUCUCUUUCAGUUCUCCAUCUCGCUCUUCUUCCGUCUCUUCCUCUCCUUCGAUGCACACCAUCCAAAUAUAACGGCCACGCUAAUUCACGUCCAGCAGCCGUAGCCACCAAAAUAUGAAUCCACCUUAGACGCAAAUAUAGACGAAGGUAUUUCUGGAUCAGCCGAGAACAGCCAAUGAAGACUGGUGAGAGCCCUUGUCCACCGCUGCUUCAGAAUGCGGUCGUUAAAACGUCGAACAUCGUUAAAACGUUGCUUGUCUGGACAAUUAUAUCGUUGAUCGUGUCAAACAGAUAUUUUUCAUUUUUUGAUAUUUUGUAUUAAUAAUCGUAUGCUUUCUUCGGAUCUUCGAUUGAAAAUUAAUAGAUUCUGAUCUUCGAUUUUACUGUGACAAAUUU